UUAAAAAAAAUGAUCAUAUCCCCUUCAUAGGAUUUCUUUUUACUUUCAAAAAUACAACUAGAGGCCCUGUGUACCAAUUUGUAUCAACUAUACCAGAAUCAACCUAAAUACAAAACAAAACAAGGAGAUGCAUCAAGCCAUUAUGCAACUAAAAGUUGUUUGUGACAACUAGCCAGGAGUCAGCUGCCCUAACUCUGGGGCUUAGAACAGACUUAAUAGGAGUGAAAGGAACUGGGAGGGUUAAAGACAAGCUUUUACAUCUUUUCUUACCAAAAGAAUAUGAUUCAUUCAUUAGAUUGAUAUAGGUUAGCCAGAAGGUCUGUGUUUUAAAGAUCUAAAAAUAGAUGCCUUGAUGCUCACUCAUAAUCAGCUACUAACUCCCUGUAUGAGUCAAGUGAUGACUAUGACCUAACGAGAUGAGAUCCUAAGUUGUUAUUUACAACAGGAUUGGGGAAAUGGAACAAAUACUGAACAUUUGGAACCUUCUGGGAAAGUCUGUUGUGAAACAGUCUUAAGAGUAUUUCAAUUCUGGGGCGCAUGCCUGGCUCAGUCCCAGGGGCAUGUGACUCUUGAUUUUGGGGUCAUGAGUUUGAGCCGUAUGUUGGGUAUAGAGAUUAGUUAAAAUAAACUUUAAAAAAGUAUUUCAACUCCAAUGUCUCUUUAUAGAACAGAGAGCCUGAGCCACUCAAGGAAAUGUCAAAGAGGAAUAUUAAAUGUGGCAAGACUUUGGGGAGUAGCUCUCAGGGGAUUCACACUAUGAAAAAGCUUACUAGCUCAAUCUAGCUACUGAUAAGAUACUUCUGGCAUGUCAACAAAUAAACUCUCUUGAAUCCAAGCCAAACUGGAAUCUUCUGUUGUCCACAACAUUAGAACAUUGUUUGAUCAGACAACAAAAAGACAUUAAAGGCAUUCAAAUUGGCAAAGAAGAAGUCAAACUCUCCCUCUUCGCCGAUGACAUGAUACUCUACAUAGAAAACCCAAAAGUCUCCACCCCAAG